rnacentral:lncRNA from 1 species
AGACAUAAGUCUCGCCACAUAUAAUUCCAGUAUCUUUCUUUUUUUCUUUUUUUCUAGUUUUUAUACUAUGAGGAAGUAGCUAGUCUCGCUUUUCACCAAAUUAGAAAUAUUUGGAAAAAAAGAAAGAGAAGAAGAUAUUAGAAUUUAUGUGGGCGAGACUUAAGUAUUAUAAUUGCUGGAAGUCUUGCCACAUGUAAAUCUGGUGUCUCUCUUCUUUUCCUUUUUUUUCUAGUUUUUUAGUCUACGAGGUUUUUAUGACGAUUUCUGUUACGAGGUUUUUACGACGAAAUCAUCCUACGUGGAAUUAAAGAGUGCCUCCUUCGUCAUUUACUUUACGUGGUAUUUAAGUCAAUUUACCUUACGAGGUCUUUACGACGAUUCCGUCCUACGUGGAAUUAACGGGUUUCGCUUUCUUUAUUUUUUUUUACUUUCGUCGUUAUUUCCACGUAAGCUAACGAGUUCUUUACGACGAUUCUGUCCUACGUGGAAUAAACGAGGAUUACGUCGUACAUUCGACGUCAAAUUACGAGGAAUUAACGAGCAGUACGUUUAAAUCCCUAAAAUCCGAAACCCCAAACCCCAAAACCCCAUAUUCCUUAUCUUCUACUUCAUAUAUUCCAAACCCCAUCUUUAUUUCCAUUCCAAACCACAAUUCCCACAUUUACUUAUUUAUAAAACAAACUCCCACAAUUUC